rnacentral:rRNA from 1 species
CACGUAGGGCGCAAGCGUUGUCCGGAAUUAUUGGGCGUAAAGAGCUCGUAGGCGGUCUGUUGCGUCUGCUGUGAAAACUCGGGGCUUAACCCCGAGCCUGCAGUGGAUACGGGCAGACUAGAGGUAGGUAGGGGAGAAUGGAAUUCCCGGUGUAGCGGUGAAAUGCGCAGAUAUCGGGAGGAACACCGGUGGCGAAGGCGGCAUCCUGGACCGGCAUUGACGCUGAGGAGCGAAAGCCAGGGGAGCAAACGGG